CACACACACAUGCACAUUUAUGAUUAAGAAUCGCAUUAAAGUCGCCAAAAACAUUUGUAAAAUAAAACUGUUUACUGCCAGCAAAGCAAACCAGCUGCUGGCUAGUUGGCUCUGCCUCUUCUCCGACAAUGGGGCAUCUCCGAUUGCAACAGCAGGUGGAGUGUAUCCUCUUGCUUGGCGCGGCCAGUCGUUGCUGUCAACUCGUCGCUGCAAGAUGUGCAAGGGUCUGGGCUUCAGCACCGGAUUUGUGGCGCUCUGCGCAUUCAUCUGCUGCUUUGGUGCGCUGCAUAUGCUCAACAAGAUCGUGCACAUCAACGAGGAGGUGGCACUGCGCACAGAGUACAAACUGCCGCCAGAUGAGAGCGAUCGCUGUCAGCGGACAUUCAUUGUGGACGGUGCAGGUAAUGCGCACAUCACCUGGCUGGAGCUGUUCUACAUGAAAUGGACGCUAGUGCUAACUAUUUUCUAUACAUUCAUUGUCAUGGUGCUCAUACGAGCUCAAUACUUGAGUCACUUUGAUAUUAAUUUCAUUACCUCCAAUGCGAUGAUGCUCGUUGGCGGCGUCCUCUCUGUGGUCCUGUUCAUUGCCACUGUCAUACUGCACGAGCGUAUGCCCUUCAUGGAGGUCUGGUGCAAUGAGUUUAUCGUUGGAUUCAUGUACUUCAUAGCCAUCAAUAUAUGCGUGGCUGUCGUCUUUUUCCUCAUCCACUCCUGUCAAUAUUAUUUUCAAUUGGAGGAGCGCGGCUUUUGAGGAAGAAGCUCUUUUCUAUAACUGAGAUUGAAUGGGUUGAAAAUGUUUCGAAUUUAAUAUAAGUUUCAGAAUCGGUACGGCUUGAUAAUAAAGUAGUCCGAUCUGAUACACAGAUAUUACAGAUAUAUAGGAAAAAGUUGUUCUCAUAGGAAUCCACUCAAUUUGCUAAUCUUCCUCAAACAGCAGAAUCCGCCAAAAGAGUCUGGCGAGAAUGUCCAAUGCUUUAGUUAGUUUAGCGAAAAUCGUAAAUUAAUCGCGUGCUUCUCCUUUUGGCAAUGCCUGCACAAAAGUAGACACAUUUUGUAUAAAAAAAAACAUAUAGACACGUUUAUUCGAAUACAAUAUAUGCUGUUUGGUAUAAAAGACAGACAGUGAGAUGAAAGUAAAAAUAAAGAAUAAAAUGAGAAUGUAACACAAAAAAAUAUGCAAUAAUAAAAUUAAUAUAUAUAUGUAUAUAUAUAUAUAUAUAUGGAUGUGGGUAAUUAGGUAGUACGAGUGUGUAACACAAUUUAUUUAACAGUACAACAAAGAGACUCCUCUGUAUGGCUUGUGCGGUAAUUGACUAUAGCUGUAGCUAUAUCCGAUUCUGAUUCUGAUUCUGAUGAUCUGUUUGUGUUAGAUUUCGAUGCUCGUUUGCAAAAUGCCAGCGAUUGUGUCGCUUAAAUGCCGCGAUAUGAGCGAUGUGCCAGGAAUGCGCUUAUGAAGUAGAGCACCG